rnacentral:rRNA from 1 species
AGAGUUUGAUCCUGGCUCAGAACGAACGCUGGCGGCGUGCCUAACACAUGCAAGUCGAACGGGAACGUUACCUUCGGGUAACUAGUACAGUGGCGAACGGGUGAGUAUCGCGUGAGCAACCUGCCCUUCGGCCUGGAAUAACUUUUCGAAAGGGAAGCUAAUACCGGAUGAUAUCAUUUUCAUUAGCUUGAUUAUGAUCAAAUGGGGGCCUCUUUACAAUGCUCCUGCCGAUGGAUGGGCUCGCGUCCUAUUAGCUUGUUGGUGAGGUAACGGCUCACCAAGGCGACGAUGGGUAGCCGGCCUGAGAGGGUGAUCGGCCACACUGGGACUGAGACACGGCCCAGACUCCUACGGGAGGCAGCAGUGAGGAAUUUUGCGCAAUGGGCGAAAGCCUGACGCAGCAACGCCGCGUGAGUGAUGAAGCUUUUUGGAGUGUAAAGCUCUGUCAGAAGGGAAUAAGAGGGUGCUUACUAAUAAUAAGCGUCAUUGACGGUACCUUCAGAGGAAGCCCCGGCUAACUCCGUGCCAGCAGCCGCGGUAAUACGGAGGGGGCGAGCGUUGUUCGGAAUUACUGGGCGUAAAGCGCGCGUAGGCGGUCUUGUAAGUCAAGCGUUUAAUCCCUCGGCUUAACUGAGGUUCUGCGUUUGAUACUGCAAGACUUGAGUACGGGAGAGGAAAGUGGAAUUCCAUGCGUAGCGGUGAAAUGCGCAGAUAUAUGGAGGAACACCUGUGGCGAAGGCGGCUUUCUGGACCGCUACUGACGCUGAGGUGCGAAAGCGUGGGGAGCAAACGGGAUUAGAUACCCCGGUAGUCCACGCCGUAAACGAUGGGUACUUGGUGUAGAGGGCAUCGACCCCCUCUGUGCCGGAGCUAACGCAUUAAGUACCCCGCCUGGGGAGUACGACCGCAAGGUUGAAACUCAAAGGAAUUGACGGGGCCCCGCACAAGCGGUGGAGCAUGUGGUUUAAUUCGACGCAACGCGAAGAACCUUACCAGGGUUUGACAUGUUUGGGACAGCCGAUGAAAAUCGGUUUUCUUUCGGGACCCUUACACAGGUGCUGCAUGGCUGUCGUCAGCUCGUGUCGUGAGAUGUUGGGUUAAGUCCCGCAACGAGCGCAACCCUUACCCUUAGUUGCCAGCGGAUAAUGCCGGGGACUCUAAGGGAACUGCCGGUGAUAAACCGGAGGAAGGUGGGGAUGACGUCAAGUCCUCAUGGCCCUUACAUCCUGGGCUACACACGUGCUACAAUGGCUGGUACAAAGGGUCGCCAUACCGUGAGGUAGAGCCAAUCCCAUAAAGCCAGUCUCAGUUCGGAUUGGAGUCUGCAACUCGACUCCAUGAAGGUGGAAUCGCUAGUAAUCGUGGAUCAGCAUGCCACGGUGAAUACGUUCCCGGGGCUUGUACACACCGCCCGUCACACCACGAAAGUUAAUUGUACUAGAAGUCGCUGGGCUAACCCUUCGGGGAGGCAGGCGCCCAAGGUAUGAUCAAUGAUUGGGGUGAAGUCGUAAUCAAGGUAGCC